GACGAAUGCUGGCUGCGUGCUUAACACAUGCAAGUCGAACGGUGAAAGGGAGCUUGCUCCCUGGAUCAGUGGCGAACGGGUGAGUAACACGUGGGCAACCUGCCCCUCACUCUGGGAUAACUCCGGGAAACCGGGGCUAAUACCGGAUACGACCUGGUGCGACAUCGCACCGGGUGGAAAGAACUUCGGUGAGGGAUGGGCCCGCGGCCUAUCAGCUUGUUGGUGGGGUAACGGCCCACCAAGCCGACGACGGGUAGCCGGCCUGAGAGGGCGACGGGCCACACUGGGACCGAGACACGGCCCAGACUCCUACGGGAGGCAGCAGGGGGGAAUAGUGCGCAAUGGGCGAAAGCCUGACGCAGCGACGCAGCGUGAGGGACGAAGGCCUUCGGGUUGUAAACCUCUUUUAGCAGGGAAGAAGCGCAAGUGACGGUACCUGCAGAAAAAGCACCGGCUAACUACGUGCCAGCCGCCGCCGUAACAC
rnacentral:rRNA from 1 species